rnacentral:rRNA from 1 species
GUAGGGAAUAUUGGGCAAUGGAGGCAACUCUGACGCAGCCAUGCCGCGUGCAGGAUGACGGCCCUCUGGGUUGUAAACUGCUUUUAUACGGGAAGAAAAAAUACUACGUGUAGUAUACUGACGGUACCGUAAGAAUAAGGAUCGGCUAACUCCGUGCCAGCAGCCGCGGUAAUACGGAGGAUCCAAGCGUUGUCCGGAUUUAUUGGGUUUAAAGGGUGCGUAGGCGGAUCUUUAAGUCAGUGGUGAAAGCCUGCAGCUUAACUGUAGAAUUGCCAUUGAAACUGAAGAUCUUGAAUGUGGUUAAAGUAGGCGGAAUGUAUCAUGUAGCGGUGAAAUGCUUAGAUAUGAUACAGAACACCGAUAGCGAAGGCAGCUUGCUGAACCAUUAUUGACGCUGAGGCACGAAAGCGUGGGGAGCGAACAGGAUUAGAUACCCUGGUAGUCC